rnacentral:misc_RNA from 1 species
GUGAAUCAUCAAAUCUUUGAACGCAAAUUGCACUCUCUUCGGAGAGUAUGCCUGUUUGAGGGUCAGUAUUAAUAAAAAUCGGUGUGUUGCUUCUUUGUGACGCUCCGGAGUUUGGGUCAUCUUAAUAUCCUUUAGGUUUUAAGAGGCUUAAAAUUGACUUUUUUUGCGCAUUUUAGGUGUACAUAAAUUCUUUUUUUAUUCCUUUGCCCUUAUUGUUAAAAUCCUUAUUGAAUCGAACC